rnacentral:lncRNA from 1 species
CCUUCCCUAUUUACAAAGACUUUGUUUCCCCUUUUUUUCCUUUUCUCAUAUUUUUUCUUUUCCUCCUUUACAUUUUUUUUUUCUUAUUUUUUCCCCAUUCCCCUGCUCUCCCUUCACCUCCUCUACCCUUCCCUAUUUACAAAGACUUUGUUUCCCCUUUUUUUCCUUUUCUCAUAUUUUUUCUUUUCCCUUCUUUCCUUUCCCCACCCCUCCCACUUCCCCUACUCAGAGAUGUUUUUAUAAUAACGUCAAGGACCCGGAUUCUUUCUGGAUUCCCAUUCUUUUCUCUCCUGUGGGCUCUGCCUUCAUUCUCCUAAGAAGCUGUCACUGCUCCAGCCUACAGGAUGGGCAGCGGGUAAAUGGCUUUGCCUGCUGAAUCAGCUAGUUUUACUCAGUGUCUUAGGCUAGGUCUCUGUCUCAUGAAUGUGAGAUGCAAGAAUGCCUGGCUUUCUUUUGGCUAGGACUAUACCCACCCCAAAUAACAGCAGGGUUCAGUUAAUAAGGAAGGAGAAGUAAUCAGGGAUCUCUGACACCACUCUAACAAUAGUGUCUCUUUACAUAGAUUUUUCCCUAAAGAACCAGCAGUGCUUCCCCUCACUUCUUGUCUGUGCCCCUUCCAUCCUGUCCCAUUGCAUUUCAGAUCCCUUGAAUGUUCAUAUUAAAUAGGAUCUGAGUUUCAGAGACCCCAUGAUCUCUCCCCUAUCAGACCUUGGAACAACCAUCAGCACUACAGGAAGAUUGGAAACUUCAGAGCUCCUGAUGAAAGAUGAGCCGUAUAAACCAAGCACCUUCAUUUUCCAAAACUUGCAUUUCCAUGUUCUCUUAAAUGAAGGAAUCAGCAUCCAUCUUCUAGGCUCUGAGCCAGGUGAGUCAUUUUCCUUGCCUACUGCCCUGUCUCUAUGGCGCCUGGUCAGAGCCAGAACCAAACAGCCGACCCAGCGGGAUCUGGGCAGAGAGCGCCAGGCUCCCCCUGCGCCCUCGACGGCGCCACCCCCAGCAAGUGCCACCGGCAGGCUCAGGCGCCAGGAUGAUGCCUCUUGGAAUCUGAUAAGUAACAUUUGGAACGGUGCCCGGAUUAACUUGUCAUCACCCUGGGAAAGGGAUGGCUUGGGACAUUUCAAUCCCUAG